GAUGAACGCUAGCUACAGGCUUAACACAUGCAAGUCGAGGGGCAGCAUGAUUGAAGCUUGCUUCAAUUGAUGGCGACCGGCGCACGGGUGAGUAACACGUAUCCAACCUUCCGUACACUCAGGGAUAGCCUUUCGAAAGAAAGAUUAAUACCUGAUGGUAUCUUAAGCACACAUGUAAUUAAGAUUAAAGAUUUAUCGGUGUACCGAUGGGGAUGCGUUCCAUUAGGUAGUAGGCGGGGUAACGGCCCACCUAGCCUACGAUGGAUAGGGGUUCUGAGAGGAAGGUCCCCCACAUUGGAACUGAGACACGGUCCAAACUCCUACGGGAGGCAGCAGUGAGGAAUAUUGGUCAAUGGACGAGAGUCUGAACCAGCCAAGUAGCGUGAAGGAUGAAGGUCCUACGGAUUGUAAACUUCUUUUAUAAGGGAAUAAAACCUCCCACGUGUGGGAGCUUGUAUGUACCUUAUGAAUAAGCAUCGGCUAACUCCGUG
rnacentral:rRNA from 1 species